AGUGAACGCUGGCGGUAGGCCUAACACAUGCAAGUCGAACGGCAGCACAGUAAGAGCUUGCUCUUACGGGUGGCGAGUGGCGGACGGGUGAGGAAUACAUCGGAAUCUACUUUUUCGUGGGGGAUAACGUAGGGAAACUUACGCUAAUACCGCAUACGACCUACGGGUGAAAGCAGGGGAUCUUCGGACCUUGCGCGAUUGAAUGAGCCGAUGUCGGAUUAGCUAGUUGGCGGGGUAAAGGCCCACCAAGGCGACGAUCCGUAGCUGGUCUGAGAGGAUGAUCAGCCACACGGGAGCUGAGCAACGGCCCAGACGCCUACGGGAGGCAGCAGUGGGGAAUAUUGGAAAAUGGGCGCAUGCCUGAACCAGCCAUACCGCGUGGGAGAAGAAGGCCUUCGGGUUGUAAAGCCCUUUUGUUGGGAAAGAAAAGAAGCAGGUUAAUACCCCACUGUUCUGACGGUACCCAAAGAAUAAGCACCGGCUAACUUCGU
rnacentral:rRNA from 1 species